GACGAACGCUGGCGGCGGGCUUAACACAUGCAAGUCGAACGGAAAGGCCCUGAUUGUGUGGGGUGCUCGAGUGGCGAACGGGUGAGUAACAGGUGAGUAACCUGCCCUAGACUUUGGGAUAACUUCAGGAAACUGGGGCUAAUACCGGAUCGGAGCUCAUCCUGCGUGGUAGGGGUGGGAAAUUCUCGGCGGUUGGGGUUGGACUCGCGGCUUAUCAGCUUGUUGGUGGGGGAGUGGCUUGCCAAGGAAUUGAAGGGUCGCCGACCCGAGAGGGUGAACGGCGACCAUGGGCCUGCGGGACGGCGCAGACGCCAACGGGGGGCAGCGGUGGGGAGUAUUGCCCAGUGGUAGGGAGCCUGUUGCAGAGACGUCGGGUGUGUGAUGACGGCUUUUGGGGUGUAAACCGCUUCAGCCUGUGACGCAGCGUGAGUGACGGUAAUCGGUAAAGAAGCACCGGCUAACUACGUG
rnacentral:rRNA from 1 species